rnacentral:rRNA from 1 species
GGCCGCGGGAAUUCGAUUCAGGCCUAACACAUGCAAGUCGAACGAGACCUUCGGGUCUAGUGGCGCACGGGUGCGUAACGCGUGGGAACCUGCCUUUAGGUUCGGAAUAACUCAGAGAAAUUUGAGCUAAUACCGGAUGAUGUCUUCGGACCAAAGAUUUAUCGCCUUUAGAUGGGCCCGCGUUGGAUUAGCUAGUUGGUGGGGUAAAGGCCUACCAAGGCGACGAUCCAUAGCUGGUCUGAGAGGAUGAUCAGCCACACUGGGACUGAGACACGGCCCAGACUCCUACGGGAGGCAGCAGUGGGGAAUAUUGGACAAUGGGCGAAAGCCUGAUCCAGCAAUGCCGCGUGAGUGAUGGAGGCCUUAGGGUUGUAAAGCUCUUUUACCCGAGAUGAUAAUGACAGUAUCGGAGA